rnacentral:lncRNA from 1 species
CAAUGGGAUUCGGGCUCCGCGGGAGGGCGGGAGGUUCUAGCGGGCGGGGCGGACCCGAACCAGUGGCUGAGGUACCGGUUGGUGGGGGGUUGAGAAAUGAAGAGUCGGUUCGCUUUACCCCGCUGUCAGGACGCCAGCCGGGACUGAGCGGGACGGUGGGGAAUCGGAGGCGCCCGGGGAAGCUGUUGGAAUGGCCUCCAAAGGGCAAAGUGAGGGUACAGAGCAUCCAUCUGAGCCUCCUGCAGCUCCUCUUCAGAGUAACGGAACAUUUCAAUGGGGAGCCAUACUCGCUGCCGUGAAAGAUCAGCUCCCCUCUCUGGACUCUGACACGUCCACAUCUGAUUGUGAGAGCGAUGGGGAGCUUUUCGUCUUCCAGCGGGAACAGCCGAACCUAAUUCCUGACCUGUCAGAAGAACUGAUGGAAUUUUCCCUGGAAGACUCAAACCUGCAGCAAACCCAGGAAACGGAAAGAUGCCCAUGGGGGAGCUGGAAUGGAGAUGUGGAAAGUUCUGGCUUUCAGAAAAAAACAGAUGGUGCCCAAGUGUUUGUGAAAGAAGAUGUACAAAUGAUUAAAGUUGAGACUUCCAGUCUUGCCAGCCAUACUGGAGAAAUUCCAAGCCAAAAGGGAGCUGUUAUUGAAAAAUCUCUUGCAGAUUCCACAGAUCACCUUGAAGAGGAAGAACUGGGCAAGAGACAGGCCAGGGAGGGAGGGAACUCUUGGCUUAAUACAACGUUGUCUAUGGAAGAGCUGGGCAGUCAAAAAGAGAGAAGAAAGCUGAUAGAGACAAAGAUACUCUCCAAAAUAAUUCUGGAGCCAUCACCAGAUCACCCAGAGCUAGAUAUUAAGCCUCCCUCGCAUAGCGUUAGCAAGAAUCUAGAAAGAAUUGUGAAGGAGGAAACCUCCUCAGACAACCAUGUUCAAGAACGGACCCAUUUGUCGUUGCAGAAUAUUGAGAAGUGGGAUCUAGACAAGAUUCUUGAGGAGCUGGAGCAGCAGAAAGAAAACACUUGUGCAGAAGUUGCUUUGUCCUCAGCAGAUCAUGGGACCUUCAGGAGUAGGUCUGAAAAUCAGCUGAUGAAAAAGCUGGAAGAGCUGUCUGCCAGGCAUUCCAGGACCGUGCCUCCACGCUGCAGGUGGCCACCAGCCAAGCUCUCCUCCUUUCAAGAACAGCAAGAAAAUAAGAAGUAGGUUCUUUUCUGUCAGAUACACUGGGUAAUCAUGAUUGCCAGUAGGGAAACUAAUGGUGUUCUGUAGGUGUUUUUCUGUGUAGCCUCUGCAGAAAG